UAGUAUUAGUCUCAGAUAACUUAUUUACACUAUUUUUCAUACUGCACAAUAGUAAACUACAUGGUUGACUAUUGCAUAUAUAACUUUGUCCACACGCCUUCAUUCGAUUUGCUUGAUAUAUAACUUUGUCCACACUCCUUCAUUUGAUUUGCUUGCAUGUUGUGACACACGGAUCUACUAAAGGACAUAUUGUGUUAGGCAAACUAUUCAAAUAGUGCAUCUCAUGGAUGGGGAGAAAAUAAUUUAGUCUAUAUGAAGGAGAAUCACUCUGGAUAAUAUACAAUGAUCUGGAUACAGUGUAGCCUCUUCAACAUAAAAGAAUAUAAAAGAUAAAAUUAAAAUUAUUUUAUCUUAGUAUUCUACAUGGCCUACAAUAUGGGCAACAGAUAAGAAUCACAACCCUAUGGUGACACAAGAAGCCUCUGAAGCAAAGAAGGCGGCUCAGCGGUUACACGAAAAGCGUAGGAGGUGGCACGCUGGCCUACAUCUCCUCAAGCUCUGUGUGGUUCCCAUCAAUAAGGUAAGGGUCCAUGAAACCACACAUAAUUAUUUUCGCCUGCGAAGUCACAACACAAAUAACUAUGGGAUCUUAUUUUCUAGAAAAGGAUCAACAAUUAGAAUGCUAGAUCUUGGCAACAACAACAUAAUACAUACUUCCAUAUCAGAGACAUAAAUUUCUUAAUUUCGAAACAAUGCGCUUCUAAAAUCUUCUAUCUAUCAACAACAUAGUAUUAGUGGUUGUGCUUUCAGCAACAUAAACAAUUAAGGACAUGCAACCAAUAGAAACUCAACAUAAGUUAGUUUUCGUGAGAAACACAACCAAUAGAAGCUGAAUAAAGCAACAGAAGGAACCAAUAGAUAACUUUAUUGGCACCUAGCAUAUAUGGUUCAAUUCUCUUUCAACUAAAAUAUAUAUGCAAAGGUGGGUCUGGUUACCUUGCAUUAAUUUAACAUAAAUGAAUUUUGCUUCCCACGGAAAAACAAACAUCAACAUAGUUAGUGCAAGUACAGUGCAUGAUUCAGUAGAAGAUGGAUGUGUUUAGUAGCUAUAUUCUGGUUGAGGUAGAAGAUGCAGAGUGAACGGUAUAUAGUACCACUUUAUUGGGAGAUUCGGCAUUUUAGACCUUGGCUUCCUCCCCGAGCUGCUCCUGCUCCGCUUUCUGCUUGCGCGGCUCGGCUAGAGAUGCCAAUGCUCCAGAUAAAACUAUAAGAAAAUAAUAACAGGAGAAUCCAUUAAAUUUGUGAGGGUAUCGGAGGCAGGAAUACAUAUUAAGAUUAAGAACAAAUAGAAAUGACCUUUUGCCUCUUGUAGAAUAAGAUUUCACAAUAAAUGAAUCGGAAAAUUGAUCUUAGUUGCACGGACAAAAGCAUGCAGAGCUGGAUUUAUAGCUUUACGGUCAGCAGUACCUACAGUCUGAUGCAACUGAUCCAUUGAAGAACAGAUAGUAAAAGCUGAUAGAAAUACACAGGUGCGGCUAGUCUAAUUUAAAAUCUACCAGGUCAACGAAGCUCACUUCCAAUUGAUAGAAAAGCUACACAUUACGCAUGUAUUUUUUUUGAGCAAAAAUUAUUAUACAUGUAUUGAAUAAAGAACUUCGGGUCAAAAUUACAUUUAGAUAUUAAUCGAAGGAAAAAUAAAUUGCAAAGGAGAUGGAUACUAUAAAGCAAACAAAUCAUCGUUCUGAGUCAGCAAAAUCAAUCACUAAAAGGCAGGAAUCAUGUGGUCUUCGAGAGAAGAGCAGCAUCCUUCUCUCCAUUAUCACACAUGAUUCUAUUUUGCACCCGAUAGAAAUAGAAUACCUUCUCAGGCCAUACCCAACCCGCUAACAAAGCAAAAUACAACAUAGCAUGACACCUAUGAGAUGCCAGAAGAAUAUUUAGAUAGCCAUGAUGGCUGUCAAUUCUGAUGGGCCGCUGAACAAAGGGUUAGAAGCAUUUCAUGUCAAUGAUGUAGUAACAGGAAGCAAUAAUCUAGGUUAUGUACACAUAAGGAUAGAUACUUGAUCAUAUGUACAUAGGAUUCAUAAUAAUUAGACCUGGUCAUUUCUACAUACAGAGGAAGCACUCAGUAGUGCAUCAGGGGGCGUAGCUUGCCGCGCGGUGCCCGCCGAACUUCAUACCAUCAGACAUGAAAAUGGACUGGGAAUAUAGAUGUUUUGGCGCAUUGGAGGUCAUAAUUAAUUAAUUAUAAAUCAUGUUGCUGGCCACUUAAUAAGAAAUUCAGUCAUAAAUAAACGCUGGCAUCAUAUAGAAACACUGACCAUUUAGAAACACUGACAGAUGAUGAUGCGGAGCAUCCCUCGCUCAUCCCCAUGGACGUGUCUACAUCUUCCUCAACACCACUUGGACCCAUGACAAGAGCUAGAGCCAAGGCUAUCGAAGAUAAGGUGAACUCGCUCCUUUCCGAACUUCCUCUCUCUACUCACGAGACUUGGCUACUACCUUAUACGGACACUUUGUGUGUGAUCAGGUACCUGGAGGAAAGCCAAGGUGCAUCUACAUCCAUUGGACAAGAAGGCGAAGCUACCAACCACGAAGAUCAAGAAGAAGGUCCACCGGAGAAAGCUCCAGCCACCGGACAUCCGGCCCAGACCGGACAACCGGCGCCUGAAGCCCCAGCCGCCAAGUCCCAGCCAGAUCAGGCCCCAGCGAGCGGACGUCCGGCCCGGACCGUACGACCGGCGCCUGAAGCCCCAGCCAGGCCCUAGCGAGCGGACGUCCGGCCCAGACUGGACAACCGGCCACACUCUAGCAAGCGGACGACCGGAGCCACCGGACGUCCGGCAUCUGUCAACAGAAGGGAAAUUAACGGAAGUAUGAAACUUCCGGACGUCUGGCGCACCCAUUCCAGAGAGCUUCCAGCGGACGUCCGGCGUCACCGGACGACCGGUCCCUCAUGAGCCACCGGACGACCGGCCCCCAGCGGACGACCGGUGCCUGUCUGCGCACAGUUUCGGGCCAAAGCCCAUGUACCCCUCUACUUCGCCCCCUUUUGCACUAAGACUAUAAAUAGGACCCCUCCUCCUCCUAGCUAGAGUUAGCAUUGGAUUAGCUCAUAUUUGUGUGAGAGCAUUUGCUCAUCCACUUGGAUACUUCUCCUCGGAGAUCACAACCUCUUCGGAGAAGAUCCCCCAAGCGGAUUCAAGACCCCUCUCUAGGGAAGAACAUCAAGGCCACCUCGCGGAGAAGAACGGUUCCUUUGUAUCCUUACCUUUGUUGACUUUGGAUCUCGUGUAUCUCUUAUGUGUGUGGUGAUCUAGCACUUGUGUGAUCGAUUCCUUAUUGUUUUAGUGAUUCUCUCUCUCGUUUUCCCCGUGUUUCCCUUUGUGCUUCCGUGUGUUCUUCGUGAUUCCCCGUAGGAUCCACUCCAAACGUGAAAGAUCGACGCUAUAGGGUUCCACCCUACAUCAUCUUGGUAUCAUGAGCCACGUUGAUCACGUUUUUGGAGCCCCUACCUCGUGUUUUCUAGCUUGAUUUUGUUGUUUUAGUCCUAAAUCCGAAAAUCCCCACCAAAAAUAGCCCCAAAUUUUUUUUGUGAUUUGUUGGUGUGAUGAAAUUUUGUUGGAUUUGGUCCAUGGAUUUGUGUUGCUACGUGUGGAUCUAGCUUCCCCCACCCUCCCCACCCUUUUCCAUCCACCAAAUCACUCGAUUUCGACCUCACCAUCUUCUUCUUCCCCAGAAAUCUCGCAGUUCUUCCCGAGCCCGACUUUCGCCCAGGUUCCGGACGACCGGAAAAUGUCGGACGUCCGACGAAGACUGGACGACCAUAAAAGCCCGGACGUCCGUAAAACCCUGACGAAACUGAACUUUGUCAGUUCUACCACCACCACAACCCCACAUUCCACCAUAUCUUCCAAACCCAUAUACACCAAAAUCUUCCCCGAUACCUCCUAUGACGAUUUUGACACAUUUUGGUCCUUGAGAUUUUGAGUUGUGGCUCCCGUAUCCUUUUGUGUUUCGGCUAUCUAGGUACGGUUCGACUUCAUCACCACCACGGCUCAUCUUCGCAAGGGUAUCAUCAUCGCCAAGGACGGUAACUUCGACGACAUCUUUGUCAUACCUUGCAAUUGCAUUGAUACCCCACAUGGCCCUACUUUUGCGUAGCUUACCCAUCGAGACUAGCCAUUGAGUAUUGCCGGCAACGUGACUUGUGCACAUUUAGUGAUCAUACUCCAUAGCAUACAUACCAUACCAUAGUGGUGCAUAUCUUGAGAUACACUUGUGUGUCACAAAGUUCAUAGCAUACACAAUUGCUAUCUUGGUUCGUGAAGUUUUGCAUGAGAAAAGAGCUCAAAAGUGAAAGAGCCACCCAAGCUUUUAAGCAAAGAGGAAAGAUAAGCAAAGAGCUUAUGAGCAAGAACCAUAGCACCAUACUACAUUAAGAUUGUUAUAUUGGAUCAUCUUGGAUCAUUGCACCAAAAUACCAUACAUAUAGCAUACUUGGGAUAGAGAUAGUUGCAUUUUUGCCUAGUAGGUUGUGCACAAGUUUGCGUAUCCGCCUAUUGUGCAAUCGUGCUAGCGUCUCUCUAGUAUUGUGCAACAAGAGCAUUUUCGUGGUUUCCACAUUUUGGCUCACUUUUGGUUUGCACAAUCCCACUUAUCUAUUUGCGUGUGUGUUUCCGUGUACUAUUACUUGCUUGGUCUACUUGUUGCAUUUGCAAAUUUGUGAAUCAUUUCCAACAUUAUUUAAGCUCACUUACUAUUGCAUCAAAUUUUAUGCCACCAUCCUAACCAAGCUCCACUAUAAGCUUUUACUUGUGUAGGUGUGAGAACCGACAAGAAUUGGUACCAAUAGUGCUAUUUCAUUGUCCGCAUUUGAAUGAACUUGAUUCAUCUUCAACAUCGGUCAAAGGUACAUUGGUAUUAGUUCUUCUCCUUCUACCACUCACAUUUUGCUUGAAAUGAUGGAUAGGCCAAGUACUUCUACCAACCCAUUCUUCAUCGAGCAAGACGAUGACAUGUCAUCAUACGUCACCAAGAGCCACCUCUUUGGUGCACAACGAGCAUUGCAUCAAGAGCAACAAGCAAUGAACGACCGAAUCGACAACCUCGCCACCGACUUACGACUCUCCGAGCAACGUACAAGAGACUACUUCGACAACAAGCUCGACGCGCACAAGCAAGAGAACGAUGCAAGAAUGGACGAAAUCCACGCCUUGUUGGUGAACCGGCCUCCUUCUACAUCCUCAUACUCAAGACGGAGCCACUCAAGUCGACACUCUGAUGACUCCUUCUCCGGCUCAAGUACACCGUCAUUGAACACUCUUCGACGAGCCGCGCGUCAAGACCGUCAUGCAUCUCGCAACCCGCUACAUGUCAAGCAUUCACAAGAGCAAGACGAUGAGCAAGUCCCUCAUCCCCAAUCAAACCAAGUAGCGUUUGCUCAAGCUCAAGAACGACAAUGUCUUCGUCGCCAAGAAGAACAAGAACGAGCGCGUCUACAUCAAGAGCAACAAGACGCCGAGGCUCAACGUCUUCAACAACAACAACGAGAAGCACAAGCUCUUGAGGCGGAACGUGCCCUUCAAGCAUCAAGUCGAGCUAUCGCCAACCGCAAUCGCGAACGGAGCAAUCAAGAGGAAGCCCUUCGAGAAGAAAUCCAAGAGAGGAACUACCAACCGCGUGCGCAACGUCAAGCUCCUCAAGCUCAACCUCAACCUCAAGGUCAACAAGAGCAAGUUGAUCAUGGACUUCCUCCACGUCAAGAGAAACAUGAGGAUGAUUACCCUCCAUGUCAAGGGCGUCAUCAUCACCAUCACCAACAACACAAUGAAGAGCAACGCUAUGGAAAACUCAAAUUCACAAUGCCCAAGUUCAAUGGAAGCAAUAAUCCCGAGGAGUACCUUUCAUGGGCAUUGAAGGUCGACAAGAUCUUUCGUUUGCACAACUAUGAGGAAGAGAAGAAGAUUGCUAUGGCAUCACUUGAGUUCCAAGACUAUGUGCUCAUAUGGUGGGAACAAGUCCUUGAGCGCCGACAAGCAAGAGGUGAACCUCCAAUCACCACUUGGGCUCAAAUGAAGGAUGUCAUGCGAGCACGUUUUGUGCCAACCUACUACAAUCGCGAUCUCUUCAAGAAGCUACAACUCCUCAAGAAAGGAACAAAGAGUGUUGAAGAAUACUACAAGGAAACGGAGAUUGCCAUGAUUCGAGCCAAUGUCACGAAGGAUGAUGAGCAAACAAUGGCACGAUUCUUGAAUGGACUCAAUCAUCCCAUCAAGAAGAUCGCCGACUUCCAACCCUACUCCAACCUCAUUGAGCUCGUGCAUCAAGCUACAAAGGCGGAACGCCAAGUGCAAGAUGACUUCAAGUACGCCAAGUACUCCUCCAAGACCUACGGCUUCUCCAACAACCAAGCUUCAACAACUACUCCAACUUCGACAUCAACCAAGCCUUCUCCAAGCAACAACGACAAGUCAAGUUACAAGAAAACUUCCACAAGUUCAAGUCGUCUUCCUCCUACUACAAGCAACUUCAAGCCGCGUGCUUCGUCAUCUACUCCGACCGAUGAGACCGUCAAGACAAGCUCCUUCAAGUGUUUCACUUGCGGAGGCCGAGGCCACAAGUCCUAUGAAUGCACAAACAAGCGCACCAUGAUCCUCAACAAUGAUGGCACCUACGACUCAAUGAGUGAAGAUGAAAUGGAAGCUAUUGAGCAAGUAGCCAUGCAUAGGCGAGUGAAUGAGGAUGAAGAUGAUCAAGUCUUUUGUGAUGAAGAUACGAGCCCUGCUCUCGUUGUCUCCAAGGUCUUGACUCUUCAACAUCAACAAGAAGAAGACCAACGAUGCCACAUCUUCCACACAAAGGCCGGCAUCAAUGGACGAUCCGUCAAGGUCAUCAUCGAUGGAGGUAGUUGCCACAACUUGACAAGUGAAGAACUAUGCUCCAAGCUUCAAUUGGUCAAGAAGAAGCACCCGCACCCCUACAAGGUUCAAUGGCUAAGUGACUCCAGCACUAUACGAGUUGAGCAUACGGUCCAAGUAUCCUUCAAAAUUGGUGCAUAUGAGGACACUUUGGAGUGUGAUGUGGUCCCAAUGACCGUUUGCCACCUCUUUCUUGGUCUACCAUGGCAAUUCGACCGUGGUGUCUUCCACAACGGGCGUACAAACCACUAUAGCUUCAAGAUGAAAGGAAAAGAAUAUGUGCUACGACCCAUGUCUCCUAGUCAAGUGAUAGCCGACAAGCAAGCCACCCACCAUAGAGAGAAGAGUGAGAAAGUGAGCCACCAAAAAGUGAGUGAGAGCCACAAGCCAAACUUGAGCGCCUCUUCGCCUAGAGAGAAAAACCUCAUACUAUUUGCCACCAAAAGUGAGAUGAGAGAAGUGUGAGAGAACCCAUCGAGUGUGAUGCACUUUGUCCUUGUGUGCAAGGAUGGAGAAACAAAAACUAACACCAUUCACGAUUUACCUUUGGUGUUUCAAUCUCUUUUGUAGGAAUUUCAAGAUGUUUUCCCUGAUGAGCUACCUCCAGGUCUACCUCCUCUUCGAGGCAUUGAGCAUCGAAUCGACCUCAUCCCCGGAGCGCCACUUCCAAAUAAAGCUCCAUACCGUGUCAAUCUUGAAGAAACCAAGGAGAUUCAAUGGCAAGUACAACAACUAAUCGACAACGGUCAUGUACGUGAAAGCUUAAGCCCUUGUGUCGUUCCCGUUAUACUUGUGCCUAAGCCCGAUGGAAGUUUCCGCUUGUGUUCCGAUUGUAGACCCAUAAAUGCUAUCACCGUUCGCUAUAGGCAUCCCAUUCCUCGCUUAGAUGAUAUGCUUGAUGAACUUAGUGGAGCCAACUUUUUCUCAAAAAUUGAUCUUAAAAGUGGCUAUUAUCAAAUACGCAUUCACGAGGGUGAUGAAUGGAAAACGGCUUUCAAAACAAAAUUUGGUUUAUAUGAAUGGUUAGUCAUGCCUAUGGGUUUAUCGGAGGCUCCCGGUACUUUUGUGCGUCUCAUGCAUCAUGUACUUCGACCUUACAUUGGAGUCUUUGUUGUGGUUUACUUCGAUGAUAUUCUUGUGUUUAGCAAAACCAUGAAAGAGCAUCUUGAUCAUGUUAAGCUUGUUUUGCAAACACUUCGCAAGGAAAGUCUUUAUGCUAACAUGAAAAAGUGCACAUUUGGUGUUGACAAAGUGGUUUUCUUGGGUUUCGUUGUUUCUUCCAAGGGUGUCCAUGUUGAUGAAACUAAAAUUGAAGCAAUUAAAACUUGUCCCCAACCCACCAAUUUGCAACAAGUGCGAAGUUUUCUCGGUCUUGCAGGUCUUUAUCGUUGCUUUGUGAAAAACUUUAGCACUAUUGCUGCCCCUUUGCAUGCUUUGAUAAAGAAAAAUGCUCCUUUUGUUUGGGGAACUUUGCAAUCAAUCGCUUUUGACGAGCUCAAGUCUUUGCUUACUCAUGCUCCGAUUCUUGUUUUGCCUAAUUUUGACAAAACUUUUGAGGUUCAUUGUGAUGCAAGUGGUACCGGAAUUGGCGGAGUUUUGAUGCAAGAAAAACGAGCCAUUGCAUAUUUUAGUGAAAAACUCUCCGGUGCUCAACUUAACUACCCCAUAUAUGACAAAGAAUUGUAUGCUUUAGUGCGUGUACUACAUGUUUGGGAACAUUAUCUUAGGCCUCAUGAGUUUGUCAUCCAUACCGAUCAUGAAACGCUCAAGUACUUAAAAGGUCAAACUAAAUUGAACAAGCGUCAUGCCAAAUGGAGUGAACUUAUUGAAUCUUUCCCAUAUGUGAUCAAGUACAUUAAGGUUAAGGAAAAUGUAGUUGCCGAUGCACUUUCACGCAUAUGUACGCUUGUCACUAAACUUGAGUUGAAUGUUAUUGGUUUUGAGCACAUCAAAGACUUGUAUGCUAGUGAUCCAUCUUUUGCACCUCAUUAUGCCAAAUGUUUGACGCAUACAUCUUGGGAACAAUAUUACAUCAAGGAUGGUUAUCUUAUGAGAGCUAACAAACUAUGCAUUCCCGAGUCUUCUCUUCGUUUGCUCCUUUUGCAAGAGGCUCAUGGAGGCGGACUCAUGGGACACUUUGGACGCGACAAGACUUUCGCCACGCUCUCCAAGAACUACUUUUGGCCCAAGAUGUUCCGCGACGUCUCACGCUUCACUACUCGAUGCUCUACAUGCCGCAAAGCUAAGUCAAAAGCUCAAUCUCAUGGUCUUUACAUGCCUGUUCCUAUUCCUUAUCAACCUUGGGAAGACAUUAGCAUGGAUUUUGUACUUGGUUUGCCUAGAACUCAAAAUGGAAAGGAUUCCGUGUUUGUUGUUGUGGACCGAUUUUCUAAGAUGGCACAUUUCAUUCCUUGCAACAAGAUAGACGAUGCUUCACAUGUUGCACAUCUCUUUUGUAGGGAAAUCUUGUGUCUCCAUGGAGUACCAAAGACAAUCGUAUCCGACCGCGACGUCAAGUUCUUGAGCUACUUUUGGAAGACCCUAUGCGCCAAGCUCGGAAUCAAGCUCUUGUUCUCAUCCGUGUACCAUCCUCAAACCGACGGCCAAACGGAGGUGACGAACCGGACUCUCUCCACUCUACUUCGCGUGUUGAUCAAGAAGAACAUCAAGGAGUGGGAGGCAUGUCUACCCAUCGCCGAGUACGCCUACAACCGUGCAAGACAUUCGACUACCGGCAAGUCUCCCUUCGAGGUCGUCUAUGGCUUCAACCCAUUGUCCCCAUUGGACAUUCUACCUCUACCUCUACAAGAGUGCACCAACAUGGAUGCGAGCGCACGAGCAAGCUACAUCAAGAAGAUGCAUGAAGAUACAAGGCACACCAUCGAACGCCAAGUACAACGACUAGCGACCAAGCUCAACGUCAACAAGCAACCCAUGAUCUUCAACAUUGGCGAUCUUGUGUGGAUACACCUUCGAAAGAACCGCUUCCCCAAUGAACGCAAGUCCAAACUUCUCCCUCGAGCCGAUGGACCUUUCAAGGUGCUAGCACGCUACAACGACAACGCCUACAAGAUAGACCUCCCACGAGGCAAGUACAAUGUGAGCGACAUCUUCAACGUCAAGGACCUUGCGCCAUACCAUGGAGAUGAAGAUCUCGAUCCGUGGUCGGAUCCUUCCCAAGGGGGGGGGAGAUGAUGCGGAUCAUCCCUCGCUCAUCCACAUGGACGUGUCUACAUCUUCCUCAACACCACUUGGACCCAUGACAAGAGCUAGAGCCAAGGCUAUCGAAGAUAAGGUGAACUCGCUCCUUUCCGAACUUCCUCUCUCUACUCACGAGACUUGGCUACUACCUUAUACGGACACUUUGUGUGUGAUCAGGUACCUGGAGGAAAGCCAAGGUGCAUCUACAUCCAUUGGACAAGAAGGCGAAGCUACCAACCACGAAGAUCAAGAAGAAGGUCCACCGGAGAAAGCUCCAGCCACCGGAUAUCCGGCCCAGACCGGACGACCGGCGCCUGAAGCCCCACCCGCCAAGUCCCAGCCAGAUCAGGCCCCAGCGAGCGGACGUCCGGCCCAGACCGGACGACCGGCGCCUGAAGCCCCAGCCAGGCCCCAGCGAGCGGACGUCCAGCCCAGACCGGACGACCGGCCACACUCCAGCGAGCGGACGACCGGAGCCACCGGACGUCCGGCAUCUGUCAAUAGAAGGGAAAUUAACAGAAGUAUGAAACUUCCAGACGUCCGGUGCACCCAUUCCAGAGAGCUUCCAGCGGACGUCCGGCGUCACCGGACGACCGGUCCCUCAUGAGCCACUGGACGACCGGCCCCCAGCGGACGUCCGGCGUCACCGGACGACCGGUCCCUCAUGAGCCACCGGACGACCGGCCCCCAGCGGACGGCCGGUGCCUGUCUGCGCACAGUUUCGGGCCAAAGCCCAUAUACCCCUCUACUUCGCCCCCUUUUGCACUAAGACUAUAAAUAGGACCCCUCCUCCUCCUAGCUAGAGUUAGCAUUGGAUUAGCUCAUAUUUGUGUGAGAGCCUUUGCUCAUCCACUUGGAUACUUCUCCUUGGAGAUCACAACCUCUUCGGAGAAGAUCCCCCAAGCGGAUUCAAGACCCAUCUCUAGGGAAGAACAUCAAGGCCUCCUCACGGAGAAGAACGGUUCCUUUGUAUCCUUACCUGUGUUGACUUUGGAUCUCGUGUAUCUCUUAUGUGUGUGGUCAUCUAGCACUUGUGUGAUCGAUUCCUUGUUGGUUUAGUGAUUCUCUCUCUCGUUUUCCCCGUGUUUCCCUUUGUGCUUCCGCGUGCUCUUCGUGAUUCCCCGUACGAUCCACUCCAAACGUGAAAGAUCUAUAGGGUCCCACCCUACAUCAGAUGACACGGGUCAUAAUAUGCACAUGAGCUGAAUAACAGGUCUUGAGAAGGUACAAAAAGGUAGGAUCCAAAAGGUGUGAAACUUUGAGGUGUUUUUUUGUAGAGCAACACAGCAAAGGGGUUCCCCUCCAUUCAAUUGUAACAUCGAUGGUAAGCUGAAUAACAAUUUAAACAUAGGGUCUGAUAUGAAUGAUAUUGCCUUAAAUUGAACAAAGCAUCUCAUGAAGGAAACUAUAUAUUUACCUCGUCUCUUUCUAUUUUUUUCAAGGGAAAAGUGAUCUACAGACAACGCUUCCCUUCCCUGUUUCUUUAGAAGAUGCACACAAUCUGUCGAUGAUAGGUGAUCAAAAGUUUAGAAUGUAGAUACGUUAAAAGAUACUGCUAAACAUAGAACAUGUGACAUGAAAAAUACAAUACCCAUUGUGUUUGUUCAUGGCUGCAGAGGGGUGUGUGGAGGUGUUUUCUCUGAUGGAGCUAUCCUAUGGGCAUCACUCAUCAACGAGAACCAUGUGUAUAAGCUUGACGGGGCCAAUUUCAAGACCACCACGAUAAUGCCACAGGAGAGAUACACGGACGCAGAGUCUGGCCACCCAAUCCAUGCUGUAGAGCGGAUAGUCCAAUGCAUUUC
rnacentral:lncRNA from 1 species